UACGUAGGGUGCAAGCGUUGAUCGGAAUUACUGGGCGCAAAGCGUGCGCAGGCGGUGAUGUAAGACAGAUGUGAAAUCCCCGGGCUCAACCUGGGAACUGCAUUUGUGACUGCAUUGCUGGAGUGUGGCAGAGGGGGAUGGAAUUCCGCGUGUAGCAGUGAAAUGCGUAGAUAUGCGGAGGAACACCGAUGGCGAAGGCAAUCCCCUGGGCCUGCACUGACGCUCAUGCACGAAAGCGUGGGGAGCAAACAGG
rnacentral:rRNA from 1 species